rnacentral:piRNA from 1 species
CCAAACAACGAGGUUUCAUUAUUCACUGCA